UGGGGAAUUUUGGACAAUGGGCGAAAGCCUGAUCCAGCAAUGCCGCGUGCAGGAUGAAGGCCUUCGGGUUGUAAACUGCUUUUGUACGGAACGAAAAAGCUUCUCCUAAUACGAGAGGCCCAUGACGGUACCGUAAGAAUAAGCACCGGCUAACUACGUGCCAGCAGCCGCGGUAAUACGUAGGGUGCGAGCGUUAAUCGGAAUUACUGGGCGUAAAGCGUGCGCAGGCGGUUAUGUAAGACAGAUGUGAAAUCCCCGGGCUCAACCUGGGAACUGCAUUUGUGACUGCAUGCUAGAGUACGGUAGAGGGGGAUGGAAUUCCGCGUGUAGCAGUGAAAUGCGUAGAUAUGCGGAGGAACACCGAUGGCGAAGGCAAUCCCCGUGGACCUGUAGCUGACGCUCAUGCACGAAAGCGUGGGGAGCAAAC
rnacentral:rRNA from 1 species